GUAAACAAAAAUGUAUUGGCAUCUUUCAUUAUCCUUACAAUAGUAGAAUUACCCUUGAUAUUCUAAUCAUUUCAUUCCCAAACAUUAUAUUCCCUACCCCAAUCACCUAAUCAAUAAUCAACUAAUCACCAUACAAUGAUUAGUGCAACUCAUAUUAAAACAAAUUAUAAUAAUAUACAAUGUCAAAGGGUGAACUUUAUCCCUCAUAUUAAUUUCACUUAUUCUAUUUAUUACCUCAACAAACAUCAGGAUGACUAACCCACUCAUUUAUGCCAAUAACUCAGUUAUCAAUAAAUCUAAAUAUAGAUAUCCCACUAUAACCAAGAGCAGUUAUCACUGACUUCCACCACAAAACAAAAGAGUCAUUGGCUUGUUUGCUACCACAAGGAUCACCCAUUCCACUAACCUCUAUACUUGUACUUAUUAAAAUUAACCUUUUUAUUCAACACUUAGCCCUGGCUGAACAACUAACAGCCAAUAUUAUAGCCAUCCAUCUACUCAUACACUUAAUCAGUAAUGCCACACUAGUGAUAAUAUCCAUUAGUUUUGCAACAGCUUGAAUGUAUUAUUUUAAUUAUAUUUACCAUCUUUGAAUUUGCUGCAGCCCAAAUUCAAACAUACCUCUUCACUAUACUAGUCUUUACUUGCACAACAAUACU
rnacentral:lncRNA from 1 species